GUCGGGCAACCGACUAUGGCGAUACACGGCUUGUGAAAUAAGCGUUGCGGACCCGGGGGCAGUACCCGGCGCCUCCACCAACAAGAGGCGCUCGCGGCCUAACCCCUAGCGGGGUAAAAGCCUAGAGCAAAUCGCGGUCCGAGGGGCACCGGGCAACAGAAGCCCCUCACUCG
rnacentral:tmRNA from 1 species